rnacentral:rRNA from 1 species
UACGGAGGGUGCGAGCGUUGUCCGGAAUCAUUGGGCGUAAAGGGCGCGUAGGCGGUUUGUACAGUCAGAUGUGAAAUUCCUGGGCUCAACCUGGGGGCUGCAUUUGAUACGUAUGGACUGGAGUGAGGAAGAGGGUCGUGGAAUUCCCAGUGUAGAGGUGAAAUUCGUAGAUAUUGGGAAGAACACCGGUGGCGAAGGCGGCGACCUGGUCCUUUACUGACGCUGAGGCGCGAAAGCGUGGGGAGCAAACAGG